GCGAUAGGCCUAACACAUGCAAGUCGAACGGCAGCACAGUAAGAGCUUGCUCUUACGUGUGGCGAGUGGCGGACGGGUGAGGAAUACAUCGGAAUCUACUCUGUCGUGGGGGAUAACGUAGGGAAACUUACGCUAAUACCGCAUACGACCUACGGGUGAAAGCAGGGGAUCUUCGGACCUUGCGCGAUUGAAUGAGCCGAUGUCGGAUUAGCUAGUUGGCGGGGUAAAGGCCCACCAAGGCGACGAUCCGUAGCUGGUCUGAGAGGAUGAUCAGCCACACUGGAACUGAGACACGGUCCAGACUCCUACGGGAGGCAGCAGUGGGGAAUAUUGGACAAUGGGCGCAAGCCUGAUCCAGCCAUACCGCGUGGGUGAAGAAGGCCUUCGGGUUGUAAAGCCCUUUUGUUGGGAAAGAAAUCCAGCUGGCUAAUACCCGGUUGGGAUAAGCC
rnacentral:rRNA from 1 species